UUCCCAUAAGGCUGAGCUGUGAUGGCGAGCGAAAUAUAGUAGCGAAGUUCCUGAUUCCACACUGCCAAGAAAAGCCUCUAGCGAGGUGAGAGGUGCCCGUACCGCAAACCGACACAGGUAGGCGAGGAGAGAAUCCUAAGGUGAUCGAGAGAACUCUCGUUAAGGAACUCGGCAAAAUGACCCCGUAACUUCGGGAGAAGGGGUGCUCUGUUAGGGUGCAAGCCCGAGAGAGCCGCAGUGAAUAGGCCCAGGCGACUGUUUAGCAAAAACACAGGUCUCUGCGAAGCCGUAAGGCGAAGUAUAGGGGCUGACGCCUGCCCGGUGCUGGAAGGUUAAGAGGAGCGCUUAGCGUAAGCGAAGGUGCGAAUUGAAGCCCCAGUAAACGGCGGCCGUAACAAUAACGGUCCUAAGGUAGCGAAAUUCCUUGUCGGGUAAGUUCCGACCCGCACGAAAGGCGCAACGAUCUGGGCACUGUCUCAACGAGAGACUCGGUGAAAUUAUAGUACCUGUGAAGAUGCAGGUUACCCGCGACAGGACGGAAAGACCCCGUGGAGCUUUACUGCAGCCUGAUAUUGAAUGUUGGUACAGCUUGUACAGGAUAGGUAGGAGCCUUGGAAACCGGAGCGCCAGCUUCGGUGGAGGCAUCGGUGGGAUACUACCCUGGCUGUAUUGACCUUCUAACCCGCCGCCCUUAUCGGGCGGGGAGACAGUGUCAGGUGGGCAGUUUGACUGGGGCGGUCGCCUCCUAAAAGGUAACGGAGGCGCCCAAAGGUUCCCUCAGAAUGGUUGGAAAUCAUUCGCAGAGUGUAAAGGCACAAGGGAGCUUGACUGCGAGACCUACAAGUCGAGCAGGGACGAAAGUCGGGCUUAGUGAUCCGGUGGUUCCGCAUGGAAGGGCCAUCGCUCAACGGAUAAAAGCUACCCCGGGGAUAACAGGCUUAUCUCCCCCAAGAGUCCACAUCGACGGGGAGGUUUGGCACCUCGAUGUCGGCUCAUCGCAUCCUGGGGCUGUAGUCGGUCCCAAGGGUUGGGCUGUUCGCCCAUUAAAGCGGUACGCGAGCUGGGUUCAGAACGUCGUGAGACAGUUCGGUCCCUAUCCGUCGCGGGCGCAGGAAAUUUGAGAGGAGCUGUCCUUAGUACGAGAGGACCGGGAUGGACGCACCGCUGGUGUACCAGUUGUUCUGCCAAGGGCAUCGCUGGGUAGCUAUGUGCGGACGGGAUAAGUGCUGAAAGCAUCUAAGCAUGAAGCCCCCCUCAAGAUGAGAUUUCCCAUUCCGCAAGGAAGUAAGAUCCCUGAAAGAUGAUCAGGUUGAUAGGUCUGAGGUGGAAGUGUGGCGACACAUGGAGCUGACAGAUACUAAUCGAUCGAGG
rnacentral:rRNA from 1 species